AAGCAACGCGAAGAACCUUACCAGGUCUUGACAUCCCACUGACCGGUGUAGAGAUACGCCUUUCCCUUCGGGGACAGUGGUGACAGGUGGUGCAUGGUUGUCGUCAGCUCGUGUCGUGAGAUGUUGGGUUAAGUCCCGCAACGAGCGCAACCCUUGAUCUUAGUUGCCAGCAUUCAGUUGGGCACUCUAAGGUGACUGCCGGUGAUAAACCGGAGGAAGGUGGGGAUGACGUCAAAUCAUCAUGCCCCUUAUGACCUGGGCUACACACGUGCUACAAUGGAUGAUACAGAGGGUUGCCAACCCGCGAGGGGGAGCUAAUCCCAUAAAAUCAUUCCCAGUUCGGAUUGGAGGCUGCAACUCGCCUCCAUGAAGCCGGAAUCGCUAGUAAUCGUGGAUCAGCAUGCCACGGUGAAUACGUUCCCGGGUCUUGUACACAC
rnacentral:rRNA from 1 species